CUUGCGGCCAUAUCAUGUCGAAACACCGGUUCCCGUACGAUCAUCGAAGUUAAGCAACGAUGAGCCUGGUUAGUAGCUAGAUGCGUGACAGCUUAGAAAUACUAGGUGCUGUAAG